AGCAGUAGCCACGGGAAUACGUAGGGUGCGAGCGUUAAUCGGAAUUACUGGGCGUAAAGCGUGCGCAGGCGGUUUUGUAAGACAGGCGUGAAAUCCCCGGGCUCAACCUGGGAAUGGCGCUUGUGACUGCAAAGCUAGAGUGCGGCAGAGGGGGAUGGAAUUCCGCGUGUAGCAGUGAAAUGCGUAGAUAUGCGGAGGAACACCGAUGGCGAAGGCAAUCCCCUGGGCCUGCACUGACGCUCAUGCACGAAAGCGUGGGGAGCAAACAGGAUUAGAUACCCGUGUAGUCCCUGUCUCUUAUAA
rnacentral:rRNA from 1 species